UAUCGUUUCGCAUAGGUUACGGGCGUAUCGUUUCGCAUAGGUUACGGGCGUAUUGUUUCGCAUAGGUUACGGGGGUAUUGUUUCGCAUAGGUUACGGGCGUAUCGUUUCGCAUAGGUUACGGGCGUAUUGUUUCGCAUAGGUUACGGGCGUAUCGUUUCGCAUAGGUUACGGGCGUAUCGUUUCGCAUAGGUUACGGGCGUAUCGUUUCGCAUAGGUUACGGGCGUAUCGUUUCGCAUAGGUUACGGGCGUAUCGUUUCGCAUAGGUUACGGGCGUAUCGUUUCGCAUAGGUUACGGGCGUAUCGUUUCGCAUAGGUUACGGGCGUAUCGUUUCGCAUAGGUUACGGGCGUAUCGUUUCGCAUAGGUUACGGGCGUAUUGUUUCGCAUAGGUUACGGGCGUAUCGUUUCGCAUAGGUUACGGGCGUAUCGUUUCGCAUAGGUUACGGGCGUAUCGUUUCGCAUAGUGUACCGGUUUCGUCUUGGUCACGGGCGUGCUGUGUGCUGGCAUGUAAUCAGCGGGCACACAGUUCGGGAUGCCUCGGGGCAGGGGUCGAGGAGGAGGCGGCCUCUUCGGGGAAGGUGUCGCCGGCUGCCCCUCUGCUGGGCCAGGGCCGGCAGCCGACUCCACUUCGAGCCCCGCGCCAGAGGCAUCCUCGCCCGCCUCAAGGGUUUUGUUCAAAACUCAGGAGGCUCGGCGAAUGUUUCUCGAGAUAUUAUAAUCGAUGAACAAGGCGGUGACAGCCUUCGUCGCAGUGUUUGCAAGUUUUGGGAUGGAAGUGAAGGAUGGCGCGGAGGGAGGGAAACCUGCCGCCGCGGCCCCCCUUUGUUCCUGCUUGUUCUGGCACUGUUGUUUUGCUUUCUCCGUCAAGUAAUGAGUAUAGAUAACAAUACUAGAUAUGUCACCAACGCUGGGAGGAGAGGACAUAUUGACCAGCUUUGAUACACGGAGUUCAGGUGACCACAGCGACUCAGCACUCAGCCUCAGCACGGGUUAUGUUUGUUGCUGUGGCUGGAAGGUUUUGGUGUGGCUUUUGCAAA